GUGGGGAAUUUUGGACAAUGGGCGCAAGCCUGAUCCAGCAAUGCCGCGUGCAGGAAGAAGGCCUUCGGGUUGUAAACUGCUUUUGUACGGAACGAAACGGUCCUGGUUAAUACCUGGGGCUAAUGACGGUACCGUAAGAAUAAGCACCGGCUAACUACGUGCCAGCAGCCGGGGUAAUACGUAGGGUGCGAGCGUUAAUCGGAAUUACUGGGCGUAAAGCGUGCGCAGGCGGUGCUGUAAGACAGGCGUGAAAUCCCCGGGCUCAACCUGGGAAUUGCGAUUGUGACUGCAGUGCUGGAGUACGGCAGAGGGGGAUGGAAUUCCGCGUGUAGCAGUGAAAUGCGUAGAUAUGCGGAGGAACACCGAUGGCGAAGGCAGUCCCCUGGGCCUGUACUGACGCUCAUGCACGAAAGCGUGGGGAGCAAACAGGAUUAGAUACCCUUGUAGUCC
rnacentral:rRNA from 1 species